AAGAAAACACAGCUGAGUGAGAUGUUUAAGAGUUGAGUGAUUGUAGAAGUCGAAAGUUAAUGAUUGAGUUAGGUUAUUUUUUGAAAUUUUGAUACUCGAAAGGUUUGUGGUGCAGAAAACGCCAUAUCGCAAGCAAGCCUGGCCUCGAGCGCGGAGUCCGACGACGGUGGACUAUCUCCCCCACCGCGGAAAAAACAACGCUUUUCUGCAGCUAACAGUAACAUGCAAACUACUAAUGGCUGUCUGCGGCACAAUGGGGAUGCACCGUCAACUGGCGAUGACCUGCAGAAUGGUGCUUGUCCUUCUACUGCAAACGGGCAAAUUAAUGGAGAUCCAAAAAUAAGAUCACAAGCUGAUAAGGAUAUUAUUCGUCUGAUUGGCCAGCAUCUCAGAAGUCUUGGGCUCAAUCGUACAACUGAACAGUUAAUUCAAGAAUCGGGAUGUCGUCUUGACCAUCCAGCUGCAGCAAAGUUUCAGACACAUGUUAUGAAUGGGGAAUGGUUUAAGGCAGAAAUAGACCUCAGUGAGUUAAAGUCAUUACUAGAAACUCCCCAUGCUCUUGUGGAAAUGAAGUUUCUUCUUCUUGAGCAAAAAUAUUUGGAACAUUUAGAAAAUGGCCAUGUGUUAGAAGCAUUGCAGUGUCUACGAGGGGAACUCACACCUCUAAAACACAAUACAUCCCGAGUCCACGAACUUAGUAGUUACAUGAUGUGCAGUACAGGUGAAGAAUUACGAGGUAUGUCUCAUUGGGAUGGGAAAGGAGUUCUCUCCAGACAGAAACUAAUGGAAAAACUGCAAGUUUAUCUUCCAGCAACUGUGAUGUUACCUCCAAGGAGACUGCAAACUCUCCUCUCCCAAGCUCUUGAGUUGCAAAAAGAUCACUGUCUUUAUCACAAUACAAAAUCUACUCAUAGUCUGGAAAAUGAAUCAUUGCUCAUUGACCACAUGUGUACUAAAGAGCAAUUUCCAUGUGACACAGUCCAAGUUCUCAAUGAUCAUUGUGAUGAGGUCUGGUUUUGCAGGUUUUCUAACAAUGGCCAGAAAUUAGCUACAGGCUCUAAAGAUAGUACAGUUAUUAUUUGGGAUGUUGACCCUGUUACUUUGGAGCUGAGGCAUAGAAAAACUUUAGAAGGUCAUUCUUAUGGACUUUCCUACUUAUCCUGGAGUCCUGAUGACAACUACCUAGUAGCUUGUGGAAGAGAUGAUUGUUCAGAUUUGUGGGUGUGGAAUGUCGAGACUGGUAACCUGCGAGUCAAAAUGAACAAUUCGCCAGAGGAUUCUCUCACAUCCUGUGCUUGGCAUAAAGACAGCAAGAAAUUUGUUACUGGAGGAACAAGGGGCCAGUUUUAUCACUGUGAUUUAGAUGGGAAUGUCUUGGACUCAUGGGAAGGUGUCCGAGUGCAAUGCUUACGGUACCGUAAUGACGGUAAGACAGUUCUAGCUGCGGACACACAUUAUAGAAUUAGGGGAUACAACUUUGAAGAUCUCACAGAUUUUAAUAUAAUUCAAGAGGACCAUGAAAUAAUGUCUUUUACAUGUGAUGACACAGGAAGACUAGCCAUGUUAAAUGUAGCUACUCAGGGUGUACACUUGUGGGAUCUGGAAGACAAAGUUCUAAUUAGAAAGUUUCAAGGAAUUACUCAAGGCUAUUAUUUAAUUCAUUCGUGUUUUGGAGGAACGAACCAAGUUUUUGUUGCUAGUGGAAGUGAAGAUAAUAAAGUAUACAUCUGGCACAUCAAGAGAGAGAUGCCAAUUGCUGUAUUGACAGGACACACUCGGACUGUGAACUGUGUCUCCUGGAAUCCUACCUACCCCAGCAUGCUGGCGAGUGCCUCUGAUGAUGGAACUGUGAGAAUAUGGGGCCCCAGUGAACAGUAUUGUGUUAAAAGAAAACACAGAAUUCUGAGCACUUCCUGUAUAUUACAACUGGCUAUUACACUCGUCUGUUGAAAACUUUUGUGAUGAUUUUAGUGGAAACAACAACAUUGUACCUCUCUUUUUGGUCAUCACUUUUUUCAAGAGAGAGAGUGAACUUCGAUUAUCUAUUACAUUAUGGAAAAUACAAAGGUUUCUAGUAAACUUCCCCACUCACUUAUGGUGCAACAAAGUGAGUCAUCAGUAUAUCUCUUCAGGAGACGAACCAUAUGAAUAUUAUCAUGCAUAUUCACUGAGAAAUGACAGGUACACCCAUGUUGUUCUAUUUAAUUAUGAAUUGAAGAUAUUCGUCAAUAUAGAGACUAUUGAAAUGGCACAUUAUACCAUACCGAAGAAGGUGUAACAUUUACGCAUAUUAAAUUGCAAUAAUUUAUACAACUGAUACCAUCAGUGAUUAGGGCCAUACAUUUGAAAUAUAGUGAGAACUUUGAUCUAGAUAAUCGUAAAUGUACUAUUAAUAUUAUAUGUGAAGAGUCAAAAUGUGUCCAUUAUGUUAACAACCCAAUAUAAUAUUUGCACUUAUAUAUCAUGGAUUAUAAGUUUAAAAAAGUCUGAAUGGUAUCAGUUAUUUGAACAGGUCCAUUUUAUUUAUUUGUAUCUAAAUCAAAUAAAACAAAUGGAAUCAGAAACAACAUCUAAUAGCAUCAAUGAUAACUUUUAAAGAUUGUUAUUCGAAGUACAUACUGAACAUGUAUCCCCUGUCAAAGAAAGGCUUAGAAAGAAAAAUUGUUAGGCUUGUGAAGUCGAUUAUCUCAGAUAAGCUGCUCAUACAGGCAUGAUGUUGGAUCAUGAUGAAGUUACCUGGCUAUAUCUGAAGACUGGUUUGACUGAAGUGGAUAAGAACAUUAUAUUAGAUGUGUUUCAUGAUAGAAGUUGUAAACUAAAUGUAUAUGGUUGUAAGAAAUUACAUCCCAUUGAUUUUGUUGAAAGUGAUGAGUUUAUUCAAGAAUUAUCUGAUUUUCUCUGUCAAAAUUUAUAAGAUUAAGUAAUUAUUCUGUAUCAGUAUGACAAAAAUAUUUUCCUGA
rnacentral:misc_RNA from 1 species